AGCGCCAGGGUAUUACGAGCGCAAGCUUAAAAUCCAAAGGAUUUGACGGUGUUCCACCCGCCUAGAGGAGCCUGUUCUAUAAUCGAUGAUCCUCGAUACACCCCACCACUUCUUGCUCAGCCUGUAUACCGCCGUCGCAAGCUAACCACAUGAGUGAAGUUAGUUUAAAGCGUCAAUACGUCAGGUCAAGGUGCAGCCCACGAAGUGGAAAGCAAUGGGCUACAAUUUCUAAAAUAGAACAAACGAAAUACUACAUGAAAAAUGGUCAUGAAGGCGGAUUUAGUAGUAAAAGAAGAAUAGCGUGCUUCUUUAACCCGGCUCUGGAACGUGUACAAACCGCCCGUCACCCCCUUCAAUAGAGCGCCCUAGAAGGGGCAAGUCGUAACAUGGUAAGUGUACUGGAAAGUGCACUUGGUAACAAAGUGUAGCUUAAAAAGCCUUUCGCUUAC
rnacentral:rRNA from 1 species